CGGGACGGGUGAGUAAUGUCUGGGAAACUGCCUGAUGGAGGGGGAUAACUACUGGAAACGGUAGCUAAUACCGCAUAACGUCGCAAGACCAAAGAGGGGGACCUUCGGGCCUCUUGCCAUCGGAUGUGCCCAGAUGGGAUUAGCUAGUAGGUGGGGUAACGGCUCACCAGGCGACGAUCCCUAGCUGGUCUGAGAGGAUGGCCAGCCACACUGGAACUGAGACACGGUCCAG
rnacentral:rRNA from 1 species